CGACAAGAGCGAAUGUAUGUUCCGAGGCAUCUCCAAUUGAUACACAUUUCUCUUGACAGAUGGCCCAAAAUUCCAGUCCAAAUGCGAGACAGAGACCGGGGUCACACUGACAGAUCAUGAAUGGGAAGAAAUCUAUAUACUCUCACAUCAAAGCUCUCAAUGCUCCAAAGUGCAAGAAACUAAUGACAAAAUAUUGAUGCAGU